AACGCACCUUGCACCCUUUGGUAUUCCGAAGGGUACACCCGUUUGAGUGUCAUUGUAAUCUCACUCCACCAGCUAUUUGUUGAUGGAUGUGGACCUGGACUCUGUUGUGUUACUACAACUGGUCUGAAAUGCAUGAGUGCACCCUGCUAUUGCAGCGUUUUCAGUGUGAUAAGCAUCUUCACUGGAUCAAGCUCCCUUGGGACACGCAGCAUUGUGGGCUCUGUGCUGGCAAACUGUCUUUGGACAACUUUGACAAUUUGACCUCAGAUCGGGUGGGACUACCCGCUGAACUUAA
rnacentral:misc_RNA from 1 species